UUCGAUUCCCAGACUGGGCCUUGUGAGUGUUUAUUGAGUGAAAACACCUAAAGCUCCACAAGGCUCCAGCAGGGGAUGGUGGUGAACCCUGCUGUACUCUUUCACCACAACUUUCUCUCACUCUUUCUUCCUCUUUCUCUUGUACCUGUAUUUUCAAAGGGGCCAGCCUUGUCACUCUCUGUGUCACGCUGAAUCUCCCCCGAGAACUACGUUAAGGGUACACGUGUCUGUGGAGUGCUCAGCCACUUGCAUGUUAAUUUCAUGAGCAGGCUGUUACGUUGAUUGGAUCAACUGGAACCCUCGAUGUCGUAACCAACGGAGUGCUCCGAUUAUUUUUUAAUUUACAGCUGCUGUAAAAAAGGUGGUGGAAUGAAAAAGGGGCCAGGGGAUUAGUUUAGGAGUUAUGUCCCUUGUAGGGUAAGUGCGUGUUAUCAAUGUGGUGCUCCUGUAGGGAUGGGGUGUGUGGUAUGUGUAGUGGUGUCAUAUGUGUAAUUUUUUCCGGGGUUGUAGGUAUAUAUAGCUGUGUUUGCUGGUUUGUUUUCUUUUUGUUAAGGAUAAAGUCAUGGGUGGGGAAUUAUGUGAGCGUGUGGUAUGUAAUGUGUGUGUGGGAUCUGUGCAUAUGUGGGGGUACAAUUUUUGUGAAGGGGUAUGUGUUGGUGGGGAGACAGUUUAUUUUAUGAGGUGUCUGCCUUGUAGGGGUGCGUAGGUGUCCACCUUAUAGAUGUGUGUAUGUGUGUGUGUGUACAUAGGUGCCUUGGUGUGUGAUUUGGUCAAACUCUUAUUGCCGGGCUCGAGGGCAUUGGUGGAAGGUUGUCUGCGGAAGGUCGAGGCAGGGGACCUGUGGUUGCAGUCACAGUGGGGGUGUGCAGAUACGAUAGAAUGUACUUUCUAUCAUGAAGACGUCACAGAUGUGUGAUGAAAGAUUUCCGGACAGUGGACAUAAGACAAAAUAAAAACAAUAGUUAAAGAGUGAAGAAUGAAUAUAUAGUGCGUGUUUAUUUGGUAAUAAAAAAAAAAAAAUGACCGUCACAAAAUAUGACAAAAUCACUAUUUUUUCAUUUUGUUUUAAUUAAACCACUUCUUUCCAGUUGGAAAAUAAUUCAUCAAUGACUCGUUAUUGUUCCGAUGUAGCAUUACCAUCAUUCACUGGGUUGCCUUACGUUGUUGAGUUUUUCCGGCCACGCCGAAGAGCACUUUCGAUGCCUGGGUUGAUGCUUAAAUUCUAAACAAAAAUGUUUUUUUUAAAUAAAAAUUAAUAAAUAAAUAAAAUAAAAAAAGAAAAUAAUGAUAAA